UACGGGGGGAGCAAGCGUUGUUCGGAUUUACUGGGCGUAAAGGGCGCGUAGGCGGCCACCGCAAGUCAAUUGUGAAAUCUCCGGGCUUAACUCGGAAAGGUCAACUGAUACUGCGGGGCUAGAGUGCGGAAGGGGCAACUGGGAUUCUCGGUGUAGCGGUGAAAUGCGUAGAUAUCGAGAGGAACACCUGCGGCGAAGGCAGGUCUCUGGGCCACUACUGACGCUGAGAAGCGAAAGCAUGGGGAGCGAACAGG
rnacentral:rRNA from 1 species